rnacentral:rRNA from 1 species
GAUGAACGCUGGCGGCGUGCCUAAUACAUGCCAGUCGAGCGAACAGACGAGGAGCUUGCUCCUCUGACGUUAGCGGCGGACGGGUGAGUAACACGUUGAUAACCUACCUAUAAGACUGGGAUAACUUCGGGAAACCGGAGCUAAUACCGGAUAAUAUAUUGAACCGCAUGGUUCAAUAGUGAAAGACGGUUUUGCUGUCACUUAUAGAUGGAUCCGCGCCGCAUUAGCUAGUUGGUAAGGUAACGGCUUACCAAGGCAACGAUGCGUAGCCGACCUGAGAGGGUGAUCGGCCACACUGGAACUGAGACACGGUCCAGACUCCUACGGGAGGCAGCAGUAGGGAAUCUUCCGCAAUGGGCGAAAGCCUGACGGAGCAACGCCGCGUGAGUGAUGAAGGUCUUCGGAUCGUAAAACUCUGUUAUUAGGGAAGAACAAAUGUGUAAGUAACUAUGCACGUCUUGACGGUACCUAAUCAGAAAGCCACGGCUAACUACGUG